AAAAGGAGCUAAAGCAUGAAGAAACAGAGAGAUCUCUAUUGCAGAAGAGAAAGUAGUGGACAUGAGUCUCAAGGACCUUGCUAAGAAACUAGAGGAAUUUGCAAGGCUAGAGAUUGGGAAAAGUACCAUAGUCCAAGAAAUCUCCUUCUUGCAAUGGUAAUGUCCUAUCCUCCUUAUAUGUGUACAGAGCAUUCAUGCGAAGAUCCUUUAUGUAUGUGUUUUUCGUGUCCGUUCCAUAGGCCACAUAACUCAGAAUGUUUUCUUCUUUGCUAUGUAUUGGAAUGAUCUGUGUAUGACUCAGUUCCAUCGUAGAAACAUUCCCUCUUCUCAACAUGUCUUUUCACUAGUUUCUUGAAUCUACUGGGGGCUAAUGCACAGUUCACUAUGAUGACAAAGUGAAUACAACCCACAAUAUAAAAUAAGGACAACUUUUGUUCUAGUUUAAUCAUCCAUGUCGAAGCCGAACCGCAUAUAACGAGGCACUUGUUGGAAGGACAGCAACGAUUCCCAGAAUUGUUAGGGAUUGAUUACUGUGAAAUAUUUCCUUAGAGACAAGCUCUGUUUUUAUUUCAUAUUUAUAAAGAAGUUUCACAGGGGAACUGCAUUAACAGAACAAAUAUUUGUCUGAAAGAACCAUGACUACUCAAGACAGUUUGAGACACCAAGUGUACGACGACAUAAGGUGGGGCGGGCGGAGGAAUCUCUUCAGCCAAUUUGCUCAUGUUUGGGAUUGAACUUGAGAAAUUUUUUAAGGUGCCCUGUCUUUAAAUCUGUAAAGCUUAAAUCAUUGGCUACUAAAGGGUGUGUAAAUGUUCACAUUUAUGACUUGCAGCGUGAUGGUGACAAAAUAAAUGGGUUGUUUUUGGCUCAGAUUUUCCUGGUGACAGACUAAUCUCUCCAUCAUCUAAUAUUGGAUUGAUUCCUUUUUUUAUAUAUCUUGUUUGAUGUGCAAGUUAGCGAAGUAGGAGCUAUCGGAAAUAUUCCAAUGGAAAGGAGAGGUGGACAGGGGUUGCCAAACUAGAAGGAACCUGACAAGGAGCAUCUGCAGAAGAGCUGUCUAAUGUGCUCCUAUACCUCAUAUAUUGUCUGAUAUCUGUGGCAUUGAUCUUGGUGAUGCUGCCAAAAAAAUUGUCUGAUACUCUAUUUCUCUUUUUCAGUGCUGCAAUGGCAGCUACUGCUGGCUGCCUUGGCAGCCCACUCUCUCCUACAUUUCUCACAUCUUUGGCUCUACAAUCUAUCUCUCAUUUUGCUCUCUAACUUGGUGCCUUUUAUAGGCAACAAUGGCAGCUCCUCAAUCAAUGGCUGCACAUGGUUGAUACAUUUGUCAAUGGUGGGUGCAACUACCAUUGACAAAUGGUAACCCUACUUCUUAGGGUAGGUGCCCAUUUAUUGCCCAUUAAUGGCAAAUCCCAACAAUCCCCUUUGACAUUUAUAUGGGCAAUUGUCCUCUUGUUUUUGGCUAUACAUUUGUCCAUUUAUAUCUAGCCAUCACAUUGGCUCUGGCGUUAUGAACUGGGCUCAUUUCGGCCACACACCUUUCUUGAGGUGUCUCCGCUCGUCGUCAUACGACAUUCUGUAAUGGGGCUCCUAUCACGACCCUCACACCUUCCAUUUAAGGUUUCUCCACUCGUCGCCAUGCGACGGUCUGAAUCUGGGACUCAUAUCAUGAUCCUCACACCAUCCAUCCGAGGUGUCUCUGCUCGUCGUCAUGCGGUGGUCUGAAUCUGGGACUCAUAUCAUGGUCCUCACAUAUUUUUUCUGAGGUGUCUUCGCCUGUUGAUUAGUACUUAAAAGUGCAUUAUUUAUCAAGAUUUUAUAUCAUCAUUUUGCACUUAAAGUAUCAAUAACUCCUUAACUAAAGCAUGUUUUAUAAUAACAAGUCUAAUACUAUAAAAUGCCUUAAUAUGAUAAAUGUUAUCUUAAAUGCAGGCCUAUCACAUAAAUCAAAGGAUUGAUUGAUGAGUUCAAGUAUGGAAAUUGAAAGGACAAAGAGAGGGCCAAACUUAGAAAAGAGAUGUUGGUGCAGUCCAAACUGGAACACUAUUCGGUAAUUGGGUCAUAUCUCGAGUUCUAGAUGUCCAAAUGAUCUCAAAUGUUUACAGAUUUGGUAAGACAUAGGCCUACAACUUUCAUUUUCAUCAAGAUCUAAGAAGGCCUUUUGCAAGUCCAAAUUAUAGCAACAACGGAGAAGUCUGAAUCUGUCUGCACCCAAAUAUUGUUUAGUGUUUGGCCCAUAUCUGGAGUUCUAGAAGUCCAAAUGACCUCCUUUUUUUUCCUGGAAAGCUGAGUAAUUUCCUACAACUUUAUGUUUCAAGUGGACCCAGUUCUGAUGCUAGCAUUUUCGUUUUAUUCAGACAAGAAGAUAAGGAUUUUCACAAGUCAAAAGUUGGCCACCCACUCAACAAUUAGUCAUCAAAUCAAUAAUUCUGAAUUUUGGCCUAUAAAAGGAGGCAUUUGCCAUGUAUUUAGGGCUUGGUUGUUCAGAUCAAGUUCAUGCUCUUUAUUUCUCUCUUUAUUUUUUUUUGUAAUUUUAAGUUUUGCUUUCAUUAAUAUCUUGUUUAUGCUUUUCAUUUCCUUUCCUUUACUUAGUUAACUUGUUUUCUUUAUGUUCUUGUUUUGUUUAUUUAUGUUUCUCUUCUUCAUUAUGUUUAGCUAAGUUUAUUAUGUCAAGGUGAAAAGGUUACACUAAUGGUGUAAGAAUAAGUAUGGUGUAAACUCAACAUGGACCUUAAUGUUUAAUAUUAACAUGUCUUAUCUUUUUAUCUUACUAAUUCUUAAUACCUUGCUUGUUAAAUGGUUAAUCUAGAUUUGUGUUGUAUAACACUUGGUACACAAAUGCUUGGCACUCUCAUAGCCCAACCGUAUGGUAUUACCUACACCUGCUAUGAAAGGAACUUGAUUUGUUGUUAACAUCAUGAAUUCCUGACAAUAUUUAAAAGUUUGGUGUUAUGUAAAUAAGAUAAUUAAUAUGAUCAUGUUAAUAAUUUAUAAUGAGCUAUUAAUGACAAAUCAUCCGAUUGGAACCUCCUUCGUGUGUGGUUUCCAAAUUGAGUAAUAAGAGUUUAUACUAUACUUGUUUGAAAUACCAUUGGUGGAUCCUCUAACCUUGACAUUUGUUUUUAUCAUUGUUUAAUCCUUACAUUAAUCUUCCAUCUCAAAGUUCUCAUUAAUUUUCUUCUUCUUUUUAUUUAUAUUAUUAUUAUUACUAUACUACUAUAUACUUACUUAUUAUUAUUAUUAUUAUUAUUAUUUUAUCAUAAAUCAGUAUAUAGGCUGGAAACCUGUAACCCGAUCUUUUAGAUCAUUCUCAGGUAUAACAACGCCACGUACUGAGUAUUAUUAUUAUUAAUAUUAUUAUUACUGUUACUGUUAUUGUUAUUAUUGUUGUUGUUAUUGUUCUUGUUGUUGUAUUGUUAUUUAUAAUUUAUACAAUUAACCUCUCUGUGGUUUGACCCCGGUCUUGCCGGGUUAUUUAUUAAUUUGACACCUUGGAGAAGACAUCAAUCUUUUCAUCGUGUCACCUGUCAUCAUGAGAUGGUCUGAAUCUGGGCUCACAUUAUGGCCCUCACACCAUCUGUCUGAGGUGUCUCCAUCUGUCAUCAUGAGACGGUCUGAACAUGAACCAUAUCAUGGUCCUCACACCUUUUGUCUGAGGUAUCUCCGCCUGUCGUCAUGAGACGGCCAUCCUCCUUCAUCAGGGAUGUCUCGAGUGGCUCCAAGAUUCUCUACCAUGUGGACUUGGGAGAGAUCACUACCACUGAUCACAUAGAAAGAGAAGUUGUGGUGCACUCUUCGCAAUUUCCCAUCUCAUUUUUUAUGUUUUGAGCUUCUAUGCUUUUCUGCUUGAUAGCUCCACCCACACCAACUCUCUUUGGUGUCUUCGCCUUUAAUCGACGGUCGCACCCCCUUAAUUAGGUGCUUCUACAACAACUCAUCUUUCCAUCCUUGCAUGAUUGGAUAUGUCCUCGCUUGUUGCCUUUAUCAAGAGCAUAAGAGACUUCCUGUUGUACAACUUUUCACACAAUCUUUGCUCUGAGCUUCAUCUGAGAACUCUUCUUCUCCUUGCACCUGUUGUCUCAUUACAAUACCUCGUUGGAUCCUACGGGUACUCCUGCACAAUUCUGUGUGCCUUCGUGCAAUUUCUGUUCUCGAGAAUUCUCCAUUUCCUUGCUUAUUUUGACAGCAGCUCCUGUCACAACACCUAUCCAAGUCAAAAUAGGGUGCCAAUCUUCAUUCCUUGCUGUAUUUCUCUUCCAUUAUCAGGGUUCAUCAUUUCCCCUCGAGAAAUUACAGUCACUGAAUCUAACUUCUUUGGAGAAAUCACCACUCCAUCAGAUCCUUGAUCAUACGGAACCCAACUGUUCCCCAUGGGUCCCACUGCGUGACAUGUCUCUGACCUGGCAUGCUGAUGUCAUCCUGGCCUGCUGUGUGCAUGAUGACCUCAUGUUGACGUCAUCCUUAUCCGUGCCAGCCACGUGGGUUGGGUCGUCUGGUAUUUGGGUCGGGUCAGCCCAUCCGGGCGAAGAAGACGCGUGUGACUCGUCUGUGCGCGUGGCCAGCUACCCGCCAGCGCGUGACGACAUGUGUGGCCAUGUCCGACGUCCAAUUUCAACGCGGUUUUCAACAGUGGCUUCGUUCGUCCUCCUCUACACGGUGAUAUGGUCAAAACAAUUUGACAACUUUUAUUUUUUAGCAAAAAUCAAACACCACUUUAAACCAUAUGCUUUAAUACCAAUUGUUGAGAAUCCGACCGGUAAUGUCCUGAUAAUUGCUCAUAGGAGGGUAAGCACACAACAUAAUAUUUAACGUGGUUCGGCAAACCGCCUACAUCCACGGGAGAAGCCAUUUGAUUAUAUAGGGAGAAAACAAGAUUUACAACAAUAGAGGAGGAGGAAUCAUCCCCUCUUUAGCAACUCUCAACCUCACUCUAUUUCUCUCUUUUCAGUGCUACAAUAGCAGCUACUGCUGGCUGCCUUGGCACCCACUAUCUCCUACAUUUCUCACAUCUUUGGCUCUACAAUCUAUCUCUAUUUUGCUCUCUAACUUGGUGCCUUUUAUAGGCAACAAUGGCAGCUCCUCAAUCAAUGGCUGCACAUGGGUUGAUACAUUUGUCAAUGGUGGGUGCAACUACCAUUGACAAAUGGUAACCCUACUUCUUAGGGUAGGUGCCCAUUUAUUGCCCAUUAAUGGCAAAUCCCAACACCGUAUCCUAUAUAUAUAAAAGAGAAUGAAUCAUAAAUAAUAUAAUAAAUGACCACUCUCUUCACCCGACUUUCCAAGAACUGGUCUAGCCUUGACUGCCAGCGUUAACUUUUUGUUAUAAUUAUUUUUUAAAAUAUUUUUAUUAAAAAUAUAUAUUUUUUUUAUUUUUUAAAAAAUUAUUUUUAACAUCAACACAUUAAAAUAAUUUUAAAAUACUAAAAAAUAUUAAUUUAAAACAAAAAAAAUAAUUUUUAUUCAUCUGAUGGUAAGGUACACUGGUCUUAACUUUCCAAUUUUGAUAACGUUGCAAAUUAGUUCAAACUUGCCAAGGCCAGUUGUCAAAGGAUCCUACAUAAACUGUCACUAGCAAAAUGAAAAUCUCAGGGUCAUAACAGUUGCUAUCCUGAACAAUCUUCUUUUCUAUUCAUCUGCUUUUCCAGAAUCUUUACUGGAAAAGAAAGACGCACCAGAAGCACAAAUACACCCCCAAUUCAUGUAUGAUAGCACUAAAAACUCCAUCGCAUUCAAUGCCAUGAUGAAGAAACUCAAUUAAGGUUCCAACGGGAGCCGGGCUUUCUAGCAUGCAUAUAUAAUGUUUUUCUUCUUCGAUGGGAACAUUCCUCCGACACUUUUCUCCAGGUUGAAAUAAGCAUUCGACCGAGUUUGCUUCGAUGGGAGGAACACAGUUUCUUAUUUAUUUAAUCUUUGAUAAUUACGGAACUGCUAAAUCUAACGCGAAAAUAAAGCUUCUAGGAAUUAGUAAAGCAAGGUGCAAAUUAUCAGUGCACUUGGUUGUGGCGUCGUCUCUCAUAUUUAACAACACAUUGUUGAAAGUAGGAAGUGGACGUUUUUUUCCCCUGAAGGGUAGUAGCAGCAUAAGCGAAUUCUAUAUAUGAGAACACACAAAUUUUCACUCCAUAAAAAGUAACUAGUGCGCAGGAUUAAAAAAGGAACAUAAGAAGAUUGACCUCGAAAUCUUAAAUAUAUGGAAAAUCUUCUUAAACUUCUCAAUCUGUGAGUCCAUAGAAAACCAACUGAAAAAACAUCCCAAAACAACUUGCUUCGUGUUGAUAACAAAAUUGGACGUCCUUGUACAGAUUACUCUUAAGCAGCACUUUCUUUCUUCAACUUCGCAAGUUCUUGCCUGAUCAAUCCACCCCUCUACAAUUGCGUGUAAACAAGAUGUAUAUUAGAUUGAGAAUGAAAGUAUCAAAAUUACAAAAUCAUGAAAAAUAAAGAUGGAAUCCUAGAAAGCCAUAAAUAAAUAUCAAACAGUAGAAAUAGAAGUUCAAAAUCCAAACCUAGUAAAAUAAGUCAGUGGAUUUAAAUUUGGAAGUAAAUCAUAAAAACAUUUCAAGAGCCAAUCUUUUAUAUAGCACUAUAACCAACCUUGAUCUGAGCCAACAUCAACUUGAACCGAUCAAAGUCAUUGAGAGCUGCCCUUCUCUUCUGGACAAUCAGCCUUCUGCCCCAAGAGCUAUUCUCCCACUUGUUCUUAACAUCUAUCAUCGGGAAAUGUAAGAUUAAAAGAAUGGGAGGAGAAGAGAAGAGCUGUAGACGGGAAGACUAAAGAGAUACAGAAAAAUGUAUUUUCCUUAAUGAUGUUUACUGUUACAUGAUGGUCUUAUAUAAUACCAUCUUAAAUUCAAAAUAAUCCUAUAAUCAAGGAUACAAUUAAUGAUAAGAUAUACACAUAUUUUCUAAUAUUGUUGUAGAUGUGAUCACGUUAUCUUCAGAUUCAAAUAUCUCUUGUGCAGGUAUGAUCAGGUAUGGUCAGGUAUGAUUAGGGAUAACAAUCCCUGAUCAUGAUCUUUCCAGUAUCCAGACUUCCUGAUACUUAUCGUACUCCCUGAUCAUGUUUAUCUUCAAUAUCAAUAUUAUCUUUAUUGUAGAUAUGCUUGGAGAUCACGAUUAUCUUCAGUAGUAGUAAUCUCUCUUGUUCAGGUAUGGUCAGGUCAGGUCAGGUAUGAUCAGGUCAGGUCAGGUCAGGGAUAUCAAUCCCUGAUCAUGUUUAUCUUCAGUAUCAGUAUUAUCUUCAGGAGAUUGGAUAAUAUCGUUAAACCCCCGCAAUCUUGACGGGAGGUCACAAACGUGAAGAUUGGAGCACAAAAAUUAAACCGUGCAGUAGAGAGUGGUUUUGUCAGGAGAUCGGCUAGCUGGUCACGAGUAGAUAAAAACCUGACUAUCAAUUUCUAUUGAGAAACUAGAUCUCUAACGAAGUGAAAGUCAAUUUCAAUGUGCUUUGUUCGGGCAUGGAACACUGGAUUUGAGGAUAGAUACAUGGCACCUAUAUUGUCACCAGAGAGUGGGACUUUUGGAGAGUGGCAGACCAAGUUCGGCAGCUAAAUAUUGUAACCAUUGGAGUUCGAUUGCUGUGUCCGCGAGAGCCUUGUAUUCAGCCUCAGUACUGCUACGAGCGACUGUAGCUUGAUGUUUGCUUCGCCAGGAAAUUAAAGUGGAGCCAUAAAUAAAUAUAAACAGUAGAAAUAGAAGUUCAAAAUCCAAACCUAGUAAAAUAAGUCAGUGGAUUUAAAUUUGGAAGUAAAUCAUAAAAACAUUUCAAGAGCCAAUCUUUUAUAUAGCACUUAAAAUCCUUGAUCUUAGCCAACAUCAACUUGAACCGAUCAAAGUCAUUGAGAGCUGCCCUUCUCUUCUAGACAAUCAGCCUUCUGCCCCAAGAGCUAUUCUCCCACUUGUUCUUAACAUCUAUCAUCGGGAAAUGUAAGAUUAAAAGAAUGGGAGGAGAAGAGAAGAGCUGUAGACGGGAAGACUAAAGAGAUACAGAAAAAUGUAUUUUCCUUAAUGAUGUUUACUGUUACAUGAUGGUCUUAUAUAAUACCAUCUUAAAUUCAAAAUAAUCCUAUAAUCAAGGAUACAAUUAAUGAUAAGAUAUACACAUAUUUUCUAAUAUUGUUGUAGAUGUUGAUCACGUUAUCUUCAGAUUCAAUAUCUCUUGUGCAGGUAUGAUCAGGUAUGAUCAGGUAUGAUUAGGGAUAACAAUCCCUGAUCAUGAUCUUUUCCAGUAUCCAGACUUCCUGAUACUUAUCGUACUCCCUGAUCAUGUUUAUCUUCAAUAUCAAUAUUAUCUUUAUUGUAGAUAUGCUUGGAGAUCCGAUUAUCUUCAGUAGUAGUAAUCUCUCUUGUUCAGGUAUGGUCAGGUCAGAUCAGGUCAGGUAUGAUCAGCGUCAGGUCAGGUCAGGGAUAUCAAUCCCUGAUCAUGUUUAUUCAGUAUCAGUAUUAUUUCAGGAGAUUGGAUAAUAUCGUUAAACACGCCCCCGCAAUCUUGACGGGAGGUCACAAACGUGAAGAUUGGAGCACAAAAAUUAAACCGUGCAAUAGAGAGUGGUUUUGUCAGGAGAUCGGCUAGCUGGUCACGAGUAGAUAAAAACCUGACUAUCAAUUUCUGUUGAGAAACUAGAUCUCUAACGAAGUGAAAGUCAAUUUCAAUGUGCUUUGUUCGGGCAUGGAACACUGGAUUUGAGGAUAGAUACAUGGCACCUAUAUUGUCACACCAGAGAGUGGGACUUUUGGAGAGUGGCAGACCAAGUUCGGCAGCUAAAUAUUGUAACCAUUGGAGUUCGAUUGCUGUGUCCGCGAGAGCCUUGUAUUCAGCCUCAGUACUGCUACGAGCGACUGUAGCUUGAUGUUUGCUUCGCCAGGAAAUUAAAGUGGAGCCAUAAAUAAAUAUCAAACAGUAGAAAUAGAAGUUCAAAAUCCAAACCUAGUAAAAUAAGUCAGUGGAUUUAAAUUUGGAAGUAAAUCAUAAAAACAUUUCAAGAGCCAAUCUUUUAUAUAGCACUAUAACCAUCCUUGAUCUUAGCCAACAUCAACUUGAACCGAUCAAAGUCAUUGAGAGCUGCCCUUCUCUUCUGGACAAUCAGCCUUCUGCCCCAAGAGCUAUUCUCCCACUUGUUCUUAACAUCUAUCAUCGGGAAACAAUACAUCUCAAUAAAGGGAGGAGGUAUUUAGAGCACAAAUGACACAACUUUCAGUUAGAACUACCCCCUUACCAGCCUUCUCCAUGGCUUCAAUCAAUGCCUUCUUCUUCGGAACCCGGUUGAUAUCAAUCUUGAUAUCGGUGAGUGAGAUUCUCUUGAAGUUCAUUUGGCUCCUCACCAUAUCUGGGGCAUCAACCAGAGCCUGUAAAAGACAAGUCACGAAUUGCAAUCAAUGUAAGAGCUGACCAAUUCCUCGGAUGCCCAAAAAAUCAUAGAAUCACAAGAUGUUUGAAAAUAACAUAUCCUAAACAACUUCAUGAGCGCUAAACAACCUUACAGACUUCGGUAUACAAAAAAACAUCAACACUGAUUUCCUCAGAACAGAGACGUUAAUCUUAAACACCCUAAGCUCAAUAAACAUUCAAUGCCUAAGCUUACAAGAAACAGAACAAUUUCGCACAUUUAAGCCAACAGGCUACAAACUAGUCCAAUAUGUGUAUCCAUCACCCAGGAAGUUAGGUAAAUUUUUAGUAAGCGAAGAAAUUGGUCACAUUUAAGUGAUCUAAGGCUCUAUUUUUUAAUCGGUAUUCUUCCCUAGCAAGUUUGAUUGAUUAGCCUCUAAAAAAACAUGACUAUCUGUUUUUUAUGACCAAAAAACAAGAAAACAGAAACAAAUAAGUAGUAAGCAUACGGUAAGAAAAAUAAACAAGAGACAGAAGCAUACGCGGUUCUGGUCGAUGACAUCAACGAUAACAACGAUCCUGCCGUAUUCUUUGCCAUAAUUGACGAGACCUACCCUCCCGAUUUCCACGUAUCUCUUGAAAGGCUACAAGACCACAUCACAUACAAGAACAUGAUGAUGUUAGAUUAAGAGUGGUAUAAGUGAGUUUCGAGAGAAGGAGAAAGAGAGAAGAAAGCGGUGUUAAAAUAUAUAUAAAAAAUUAAUUAAAAAUAAAUAAAAUUAAAAAAAAUAUAUUUUUUAUUUGAAAUGGAAACGGCAGGUGACAAAGUCAAGUCUUUCCAGCCAUUUGUUUCCACCGAAAGACUUUAACAGUCUUUCACGGCGAAGACCAAUUGCUAAUUCUUGACGUGUAAGCACUGGUCGCCAGUGCUUUUGCUCUCUCCCUUGUACCCGCCAUUACCAAGGUUUUGCUUCUCGAUGAGCUCAAAACAUAUUGAGUAGCUUUUUGACAGCUUAUCGAUCGACUACAAUGGACCGUCCAAGUUUGUUUUCCCUCCUUUCCCGUAUUCUCAUUACUCUUUGUUUUGGAAUUGCGCAGCCGCACCAAUUUUGUUCCAACAAGGGAACCUAUUCUGUAAGUAGUACCUACAGCAAUAAUCUCAAUCUACUACUCUCUUCUCUCCCUUCAAGCAUGACAGAGAAUGGUUCCUUCUACAACGCCACAGAAGGCCAAGGCCCUGACAAAGUCUAUGCUCUGGCCCUUUGUAGAGAAGAUCUUCCCUCAGAAAAAUGCUCCAGUUGCGUUAACACUGCUAGCCAAGACAUUAAACAGCAGUGUCCUGAUAAAAAAGAAGCACUCUUGUGGACGGAUUCUAUUUGCCUGGUAAGGUAUGCGAACCGUGAUAUUUUCGCCAAGAUGGAGGAGGCAAUAUCUUCCUUCUGCGUAUCCAAUCCGAAUGAUUUCCCUGGAGAUGUUGCUAGAUUCAACAAGACACUACAUGAUUUGAUGGCGGAACUUAUAACUCAGGCUUCCUCGGGUCCCAAAAAGUUUGCAACAAGAUAUGUGAACUUCACAAAACCGAUAUUUGGUCUGGUGCAAUGUACCCCUGAUAUAUCAGAGCGUGAUUGCGGAAUUUGUCUACAGAAGGGAAUGGAAGAAAUGGAAAGCUGUUCUGGUGGACGCGAAGGAGGAAGAAUUCUUAGUCCAAGUUGCAUGGUUUGGUUUGAGGUAUUUCGUUUUUAUAUCAUUCCUGCUGGUACUGUAGAAUAUCCGCUACAACCUCCUCCGGGCGCGGCGCCUAUCUUACCUCCUCAGCCACCAUCUCCUCCAAGUCCCGCUAACGCAUCCCCUCUCAACGAGACAAGUAAGAAACGUGUGUUACAUGCUUAAGUAGAAAGUUGAUAUCAAUUUUAGGGUGUACAGGCAGUUUGAAUUCUACCGGGAAUGGUAUUAAAACGAGCAUUAUUUUUGUAGCUGAUGUGUUGUCAGAAUUAGUGCCACAAAUCAUGCCAUGAUUUGUGGAUCUUGUCUUACCAUUCAUGCGUAUAAAUAAAGGCAUAUGUUAGAGAGCAAAAUGAGGGAGUUGAGAGAGAUUGUAAAGCCAAAGAUGUGAGAAAUAUAGGAGAGAGAGGCAGCCAGCAGUAGCUGCCAUUGCAGCACUAAGAAGAGAGAAAUAGAGUGAGGUUGGCAGUUGCUAAAGAGGGAAUAAUUCCUCCUCCUCUAUUGUUGUAAAUCUUGUUCUCUCCCUAUAUAAUCAAAUGGCUUCUCCCGUGGAUGUAGGCGGUUUGCCGAACCACGUUAAAUAUUGUAUCAGUGUGCUUAGCCUCCAAUGGGCAAAUUUCAGAACAUCACCGGUCGAAAUUCCCUACAAGUGGUAUCAGAGCAUUUGGUUUAAAGUGGUGUUUGAUCUUUGCUCAAAAAUGAAAGUUGUCAAAAUUGUGUUUUGACCAUACCAUCGUGUAGAGGAGGAAGAUACGAAGCCACUGGUGAAAACCGCGUCAAAAUCGCCAUCACGCGCCGGCGAGGUAGCUGGCCACGUGUGCCACGCGUCUUCUUUGCCCGGAUGGGCUGAACCGACCCGAAUACCAGAUGACCCGACCCACGUGCCUGACUCGGAUAGUGAUGACGUCAUCAUGGCGUCAUAAUGGAGGCAGCAUGCACAGUUGGCAUGCCAUGUCAGCGCCCAGUCAGCAGACACGUUAGCACAGUGAGGCCCACAUGUCACUUCAUCAGCCGCGAGCCGAGCCGAGCCGCGAGUCGAAGGACAGGAUCCAGUGCAGCUUGUCGCACGUGUGCGGCGGCGCGGCGAUCGUCCACCCUCAAGGAAAAAUCGAAAUAUUUAUUCCAGGAAAAUAGGAGAGACAAGGAAUUCUUGUCUCUACAAGUGAAAAUAUGGACUGGGAGUCGCCACCUAGUAUUUUGGUUACUAGGAACCUUAACUGGUCUUUAGAGAUCGGGUACGGAGACUGGUUGGAUAAAGGGAAGGUAUUAGCACCCCAACUACGCCCUACCUAAGGUAGGCUGCAUUGUUUUAAUGUCUGAUAAAAUCUAAAAUCGUGUUGUGGUUUUUAAAUUGUUGGUUCGUUUACGAUUUAAGAAAAGUCCUUCUCCGUAAGGAGAUUCUUAUCUUUAUCGGGUAAAAAACUAACUAUUCGAAGUCGUCAAAAGAAAAUAUCUUUUUAAUAUCAGGAAUACGAUUUACGUAUAAAUUCAUAAUCCCUGAUACUAACAUCAAACAAAAUAAAAUAUUUUGUUGUUUUUGAGAUUUUGGCCAAUGUUCUCUUGACUUUAAUAAACUGGUUAUUAAAGCCAAAAUGCAUGCUAAAAUAUAUUUUUUUUGACAUAUGAAAAAUACGAUAUGAUAUUUUAGAUUUGAGACACUUGGCCGUAUGCACAAAAACAUUUUUUUUUUAAUUGUUGUUUUUUUGUAUUUUUGGAAGUUUUUGCCAAAAACCGGGUAUUUUAAUACCGGAUUUGUAUUUUAUGACAUAAAAAUACUGCCCGAUAUUAAUCAAAAUGACAUAAAAACUACGCGGAAAAAUUAUAAAAUGCUAAAACAAAUAUUUUUGAUUUUUUUUUUUGCAUGUGUGAACAGUACCGUAUUUAAUACCGAAUACAUACCGGGUAUUUUAAUAUCGAAUUUAUAUUUUUACGAUGUAAAAUACAUACCGAUAUUAAGCAAAAUUGAUAACAAAAAAAAAUGUGCUGGAAAAAUUGUAAAACUUCUGGAAAAAAAAAAAUUGAAAUGGGCCGGGUCCGGCCCAUAUCAGUGGGCUGGGCCAAACCGGCCCAAGACUAAAUGGGCUGGUUACUGUGCAUAAGCACAGUAACCAGCCUCUCAGCAGUUGCAGAACGUGAAUUAAUUCACGUUCUGCAUGAAAAUAAAAGAGAGAAGGCAGCAGCAAAAGGAGAAGGAGACGGGGCAACGGGGUUACCUGCGGUGGCGUCGAGGCGGUGUUGCUGGUGGCAGCGGAGGCACGGUGGUUCUGCGUUGCCCUUCUCUCUCUCUUCUGUUUUUCUUCGUUUUCUUUCCUGCUGCUUCUUCUUCUCUGCCCUCUCCCUUCUCUUCUCUUCUCUCUCGGUUCGUCUCCCUCUUCUCUCUCCCUCCUCUCCUUUUCUUCUCCUCUUCCUCCCCUGUUUUUAUAGGCGAAAAACAGGGGGGGACGUCAUGGUGGUGGCCGGUGUGCUGCCACCCGUCCAACACGUGGAAAGUGGUCGGCAAGUGGUGUCCUUGUUUCGGCAUCUUUUUGAGCAAAAGAAGGAAAGUAAUUAGGCGAAAAGGGGAAGAAAAAAUCUUCUUCUUCCCCUGCCUCGUGUGUCCAGGGGAAGAAGAAGAGCUACAGUGCCGUCAAAACGGCAUCGUUUUGGGCUUCUGUGUUUUUUUUUUUUUUUUUUUUUUUUUACAACAGUGAAUGAAACGGCGCCGUUUUGGUCAAAACGCGUCGUUUCAUUUAAUAGGAAAAGGCGCCAAAAGCAUCAAAUUCAAAUUUCGGCCCUCUAUUUUCGCGCGUUUUACAAUGUAGUCCUUGGUCUCGGAUUUCUUCAAUUAAGUCCCUAAUUGGCCAUAAACUUCAAUAUUUAUGCAAUUAAGCCCCUGAUUUGACCAAAUUAACUUCCAAAAAUUAUAAUUUGACCCCAUAAAAUUAAUUUCUCCUAAUUAAAGCUCAAAUUAACUCAAAAAUCAAUUUUUCUUGCAAUUAAAAUCUCCAUAAAUUCAAUUAAACCUUCAAUAAAAUUUAAUUGAGUCCAUAAACUUCUGAUUUUGCAUUUUUCUUCCACAAAUUGAAUGUUAUUUAUCAUUGGGGCUCUCAUCAGUUAAUGAUAUACUGUCAAAAAAUAAUUUUUAUAUUUUUGAAAAUCCUCAAACAAUUCUUUUAGCAUGUUUAUGGCGCUCUGGCAUUUUUCACUGUUAUAUUUUUUUUGUAAUAUAUUUUUUUGAAUUUUUUUGUAUUUUAUUAUUUUAUAUGUGGGGACUCAAAAAUGGGUUACAACACAGCUGAUCCUACGUGCAACCGGAUCUGAGAUUGAAUCUGAGCCGUUGAUCAGGCCAUAAUUGUUUUGAUCAAAUCUUAGCCAUCUGAAGUGCGAUUUGGACGAUUUCAGACUUGUUUCCAGCUAAUUUGAUCAUUUCAGAUGCAAUGGUAUGGUCCGAUCGUUGAGAUUUGAGAUCGAAAAUGGCAGUGGUGAAUUAUUAAAGAGAGAUUGCCCAAUCAGGAGGCAUCUGAAGGUCAUCAUGGUGGUCGAUUGAGAUAAAGAAGAAGAAGGUGCACAUGUUUGCCCAAUUACAUGUGCUGAACUAUUAAAUGGAAAAUUUAAUGCCUUGAAGGAAGGAAAAAUUGGGACACUCUGGACGUCCAGUCAUGUGGACGGUUUGAGGUGGAGAGUGAAAAUUGAUGAAGACCAAUCUUGACGAAUCUAAGCACUGGUAGUCUCGCUAGAUGUUGAGAAAUCAGGUAUAAAACCGGGAUACCCUAGAUCACUUGUAAAGGAAAGCCGCAACAAAGCUAGCAAAUGGUUGUAUAUACAAAAAGGCAGUACGGUUGAUAGAUACGUUCUAAGAAGUUCUGUCUAGGAGAUUGGGUUUUAAACGGGACCAGUGUGACCCCUCCAAAUCUUUCCUAGGAACUUGCUUAGUUGAAGGAUCAUCCACACAGUACCAUUUUUGUAUAUGUAACAGUUUGUAAUGAAACUGUUGAAGACUAGCAAGAUGACGGCAUAAAAGAACAGUUGGGUUCCAUAUGUUCAAGGAUCUGAUGGAGUGGUGAUUUCUCCAAAGAAGUUAGAUUCGGUGACUGUGAUUUCUCGAAGGGAGAAUUGAUGAAGACCCUGAUAAUGGAAGAGAAAUACAUAAGGAGAUAAAGAUUGGCACCCUAUUUUGACUUGGAUAAAUGUUGUGACAGGAUGAGCUGCUGUCAAACAUAAAAGCAAAGAAUAUGGAGAAAUCUGGAGAACCAAAAUUGCACGAGAGCACACAGAGAUUGUGUAGGAGUACCCGUAGGAUCCAACGAGGUACUGUAAUGAGACAAUAGGUGCAAGAAGAAGAAGAGUUCCCAGAUGAAGCUCAUAGCAGAGACUAUGUAGAAGUUGUACAACAAAAAGUCUCUUGUGCUCUUGAUAAAGGCAACAAGCGAGGACCUUUCCAAUGCAUGCAAGGAUGGAAAGAUGAGCUGUUGCAGAGGCACCUAAUUGAGGGGGUGCAAACGUCUGUGAUAAAAGGCGACCACCUAUGAAAGGCAAAGACACCAAAGAGAGUGGUGUAGGUGGAGUUGUCAAGCAGAAAGGCGUAGAAGAUCCAAACAUAGAAAUCGAGGUGGAGGAUUGCGAGGAGUGUACCACAACUUUCUUUUUCUAUGUGAUCAGUGACAAUAAUCUCUCCCACAGAGAGUCAUCCCGAUAAAGGAGGAUGGGACCGCUCCACGACGAGCGAAGACACCUCGGAUGGAAGGUGUGAGGGCUAUGAAAUGAGCCCGAGAUCAGGUCGCCCAAAACAACGGGCGUAGACACCUCAGAUGGAAGGUGUGGGCCACAAUAUGAGCCCCAGAUUCAGACCGUCGCAUGACGACGAGCGGAGACACCUCAGGAGAAGGUGUGAAGGCCAUGAUAGGAGCCCUAAUUCAGACCGUCGUAUGACGAUGAGCGAAGACACGUCAUGAGAAGUUGUCAGGACCAUGAUAUGGGUCCAUGUUCAGACCGUCUCAUGACGACAGACGAAGACACCUCAGACAGAAGGUGUGAGGACCAUGAUAUGAGUCCAUGUUUAGACCGUUUCAUGAUAACAAGCGGAGACACCUCAAACAGAAGGUGUGAGGACCAUGAUAUGAGUCCAUGAUCAGACCGUCUCAUGACGACAGGCAAAGACACCCUAGGAGAAGGUGUGAGGGCCAUGAUACGAGCCCAGUUCAAAAUGCCCCAAAGCCGAUGUGAUGGCUAGAUAUUAAGUGGACAUGUGUAAUCAAUGGAGUGGCUAUGAUGAGUAUGGAGACAAAUGCAGGAUUGACUUUCAUGGAUAUUGCCCCAUGCUAAAGAUCAAUGAGCUAGAAGACAUUUGCCUUGGACAAUGGACAAUAAGUGGGGGACUUGUGGAGCAUUAAGACGCGGCUGCUAUGAAGGAGUAGAGGGCAUGCACAGGCUUCGAGAACAAGUCGACUCUUGUCAAGGUGGUGAGCUCGGUGAUGGCAUUGUAAUACUCAAAGUAUGAAGACAGAUAUGGAUCAACCUUUAAUGGGCUGCCCCCAUGGUUAAAGGUGGAUAGCUACCCGGACUUUUGAGACUAAGAGUGAGAGACUCGUGGAGAAGUAAGGCGUGGUUCCUAGAGUGGAACAGAGGGCAGACGCAACUCCUGGAUGAGUAGACUCUUGGAAGAGUGGUGAGCUUGUGAUCAUAUUGAGAUACUCAGAUAAUGACUGUCGCACUUGGAAAUAUCUGUUUAUGGGGAAUGGUAGCCUUGAUAAAUUCAUAUUUGGUACUACUGCUUUACCUUUUACUAAACGAAUUGUUUAGCAUAUCUGAAGUAGCUCUCUUUUAAUCCACAAGUAGGAUUUGGUAAACUUAUUGAAUGAAAUUGUAGAUCCAAUCAAGAGCACCCAACUGAAUUGGGAAACAAGGUACAGAAUCAUCAGUGGCAUUGCUAGAGGAAUUCUUUAUCUUUAUGAAGAUUCCGUCUUAGGAUCAUUCAUCAUGACCUGAAAGCUAGCAAUGUCUUGUUAGAUGAAGAGAUGAAUCCUAAAGUUUCAGAUUUUGGCUUGGCAAGACAGUUUCAACCGAAUCAAACCCAACGCAUCAUAAGCCAUGUCGUUGAUAGCAUUGAAUUGAUAUUGUCCUCAUGUCGUUGAUGUUGAUUAGCGGCUACAUGGCUCCAGAAUAUGCCUUGCAAAAAUUGAUUCUCAGUGAAAUCUGAUGUCUUGAGUUUUGGAGUGUUGGUUCUAGAGAUAGUAACUGGUAAGAAAAACAAUAGGCUGAGCAAUUCGGAGGAGCUCGAGCUCCUUCUAAUCCAUGUAAGUGUGGUAGUAUCUUAGUCAAGCUUUGUGUUUGCUUCUUUAUGCUUGGAGUAGACAGGAACCGUUAAGGAUACCUAAGAAGUGCGUGCAUCAAAAUCAGUUUAUCAUGUGAUUGACUGGUUUUUUGUGUGGAAGAACUGUACUUUUUCAUUCAGAUGAGUUAGUUUCAACGAGUGCAUUUCACACCCUGCAGGCAUGAAGAAAUUGGAGAGAAGGAACAACUACGAAUUCUGAUUGACGAAACAUUGAGGGCAGUCUGGUAGGUGAUGUAAUGAGAUGCUUACACAUAGGUUUAUUGUGUGUUUAAGAGAAUGUGUCAAGUAGACCCACCAUGGUUGCUAUUGUUCCCAUGCUCAAUAGUCACUCCUGGAGUCUCCCAUCACUUUCACGAUCUGCGUUUCUUUUGGACAGUAACACAGACGCAAGCCUGCCUUCACUAGAAUCCGAUACAAGAACUACUACGCAGGACCAAUCCACAGAAAACACACAAGGGACAACAAUCUGUUGAAAUUUUCAUAGACUGAGAUAUAAUCUCAAAAGCACGACAACAUGAUUGCAUUGUUUGAAAAUUGAUAUAUUUGUUAAAUAAUAUUUAUGUAGUCUUAUUUAUUAAGGGUAGAAUAGUACUUUCAGUUUAACUUAUAUAUACUUUAUUUGUAAUUAGGUUAAGUUAAUGCAUUCAUAAUAUACAGAUUAUUCAGAAUUCUAGCCUCCUUUUUGUGUUUGAUCUCAAUAACUUUAACAUGGUAUCAGAGCUGAUUUUAUGAAACGAAGCUUAAUCCCAAAUACAGCUUCGCGGAUCCAACUUUUGAGUGAUAUUUUGUCUUCCGCUUCUGCAAAAUUAGGUAUUUCGACAGUCUCUGCAAUUAUUUUGGUAUUUCGACAGUUUCUGCAAUUAUUUUGGUAUUUCGUCUUCCCUUCAGCUUCUGCAAUUUGGUAUCUGCGUUCAGUUUUUGCAAAUUUGUUUUGUGUUUUGGGAGUAAUCGUAUAAUUUCGAGAAGAUAUUUGUUUAGUUUCUGCAAUUGAGUAUUUUGUCUUCCGCUGCUUUUGCAUUCUGGUUAUCUGUGAUUGUUGAUUAUGGCUACUGAAAGAGAUGAUUCGCUUCAGUCUGUGAGUGUGAGGUUGGAUGGGAAGAACUAUUCAUAUUGGAGUUAUGUAAUGAGAAAUUUCCUUAAGGGUAAGAAGAUGUGGGGGUAUGUUAGUGGAACUUAUGUGAUACCUAAGAAUAUUGAGGAGGGGGAUGCUGGUUUGAUAGAUACAUGGGAAGCAAAUAAUGCAAAGAUCAUUACUUGGAUCAACAAUUCUGUUGAGCAUUCAAUAGGUACGCAGUUGGCGAAAUAUGAGACAGCAAAAGAGGUUUGGGAUCAUCUGCAAAGGUUAUUCACACAAUCAAAUUUUGCAAAACAGUAUCAAUUAGAGAAUGACAUACGAGCUCUUCAUCAGAAGAAUAUGAGUAUUCAAGAGUUUUAUUCUGCUAUGACAGAUCUUUGGGAUCAAUUGGCUCUUACAGAAUCGACAGAAUUAAAGGCAUGUGGUGCCUAUAUUGAGCGUAGAGAGCAGCAAAGAUUGGUACAGUUUUUAACAGCACUUCGCAGUGAUUUCGAAGGACUUAGAGGUUCAAUUCUGCAUCGUUCUCCACUGCCUUCUGUUGACUCUGUUGUCAGUGAGUUAUUGGCUGAAGAAAUACGUUUUCAGUCUUAUUCUGAAAAAGGAAUUCUUUCUGCUUCAAAUCCUUCUGUACUAGCAGUACCUUCUAGGUCAUUCUCUAAUCAUCAGAAUAAGUCUCACACAAGGGUUGGCUUCGAUGAGUGCAGCUUCUGUAAGCAGAAAGGUCAUUGGAAGGCUCAGUGUCCUAAGUUGAGACAUCAGAAUCAAGCUUGGAAGCCUGGCAAUCAGUCACAAUCUAAUGCUCAUAGACCACCUCAGGGUUAUAAACCACACACCACAAUACUGCAGCAGUAGCUUCCUCGAGUUCUAUUACCGAUCCUAAUAUUUUGGCUGAGCAAUUUCAGAAGUUUCUCUCCUUGCAGCCACAAGCAAUGUCCGCUUCUUCUUCCAUAGGUCAGUUGCCUCAUAGUUCCUCAGGUAUGUCACAUUCUGAAUGGGUCUUGGAUUCUGGUGCUUCUCAUCAUAUGUCUCCAGAUUCCUCAUCUUUUACCUCUGUAUCCCCUUUGUCCUCCAUUCCUGUUAUGACUGCUGAUGGCACUCAAAUGCCCUUAGCAGGUGUUGGUUCUGUUGUCACACCUCACAUGUCUCUCCCUAAUGUUUAUCUUAUUCCACAACUCAAAUUGAAUCUUGUGUCUGUUGGUCAAAUAUGUGAUUCUGGUGAUUAUUUAGUCAUGUUUUCUGGUUCCUUUUGUUGUAUACAGGAUCUGCAGUCUCAGAAGCUGAUUGGGACAGGCCGUAGGGAGAAUGGACUAUAUAUUUUGGAUGAGUUAAAAGUGCCAGUUGUUGCCGCUGCUGCUACUACAGUUGAUUUGUCUUCCUUUCGUUUGAGUAUUUCAUCUUCUAGUUUUUAUUUAUGGCAUUCCCGUCUAGGUCAUGUUUCGUCUUCUCGUUUGAGAUUUUUGGCAUCCACAGGAGCUUUAGGAAAUUUGAAAACUUGUGACAUUUCUGAUUGUAGUGGAUGUAAAUUGGCAAAAUUUUCCGCCUUACCUUUUAAUCGAAGUAUUUCUGUUUCUUCUUCACCAUUUGAUUUGAUUCAUUCUGAUGUAUGGGGACCUUCUCCUGUUGCCACAAAAGGAGGGUCUCGAUAUUAUGUCUCUUUUAUUGAUGAUCAUACUCGUUAUUGUUGGGUUUAUUUAAUGAAACAUCGUUCUGAAUUCUUUGAGAUAUAUGCAGCUUUUCGAGCUCUUAUCAAAACUCAAUAUUCUACUGUGAUCAAAUGCUUUAGGUGUGAUUUAGGUGGGGAAUACACUUCUAAUAAAUUUUGCCAAUUGCUUGCCCUAGAUGGAACCAUCCACCAAACUUCAUGUACAGAUACUCCUGAGCAAAAUGGUGUUGCUGAAAGAAAACAUAGGCACAUUGUCGAAACUGCUCGUUCUCUCUUGUUGUCUGCUUUUGUUCCUAGUGAGUUUUGGGGAGAAGCUGUUCUUACUGCUGUAAGCUUGAUUAAUACAAUUCCAUCUUCUCAUAGUUCGGGUCUAUCUCCUUUUGAAAAGUUAUAUGGGUAUGUCCCUGAUUAUUCCUCAUUUAGAGUCUUUGGUUGUACUUGUUUCGUUCUUCGUCCUCAUGUAGAACGAAGUAAGCUAUCCUCUCGAUCCGCUAUUUGUGUCUUUUUGGGCUAUGGUGAAGGUAAAAAGGGUUAUCGUUGUUUUGAUCCAAUAACUCAGAAACUUUAUGUGUCUCGUCAUGUUGUCUUCCUUGAGCAUAUACCUUUCUUUUCUAUUCCAUCCACUACUCAUAACCUGACUAAAUCUGAUCUUAUUAGUAUAGAUCCAUUUUCUGAGGAUUCUGGUAAUGAUAGCUCUCCCCAUGUUCGAUCAAUUUGUACUCAUAACUCUGCAGGUACUGGUACUUUACUCUCUGGCACACCUGAAGCUCCAUUCUCAUCUACAGCCCCUCAAGCUUCAUCUGAGAUUGUGGAUCCACCUCCACGUCAGUCCAUCCGUAUUCGUAAGUCCACAAAACUACCAGAUUUUGCUUAUUCUUGUUAUUCUUCAUCAUUUACUUCCUUUUUAGCCUCUAUUCAUUGUCUUGUUGAGCCCUCUUCCUAUAAAGAGGCAAUUCUUGAUCCGCUUUGGCAGCAAGCUAUGGAUGAGGAACUUUCUGCAUUGCAUAAGACAGAUACUUGGGAUCUGGUUCCUCUACCUCCUGGUAAGAGUGUUGUUGGUUGUCGUUGGGUGUAUAAGAUCAAGACUAAUUCUGAUGGGUCUAUUGAGCGAUAUAAAGCUAGGUUGGUUGCCAAAGGAUACUCUCAACAGUAUGGUAUGGACUAUGAGGAGACAUUUGCUCCGGUUGCAAAAAUGACUACUAUUCGUACUCUUAUUGCCUAGCUUCGAUUCGUCAAUGGCAUAUUUCUCAACUUGAUGUUAAAAAUGCCUUCUUGAAUGGAGAUCUUCAAGAAGAAGUUUAUAUGGCACCCCUCCUGGUAUUUCACAUGACUCUGGAUAUGUUUGUAAGCUUAAGAAAGCAUUAUAUGGUCUCAAACAAGCACCCCGUGCUUGGUUUGAGAAAUUCUCUAUUGUGAUCUCGUCACUUGGCUUUGUUUCUAGCAGUCAUGAUUCUGCUCUUUUUAUUAAGUGCACUGAUGCAGGUCGUAUCAUUCUGUCUUUAUAUGUUGAUGACAUGAUUAUUACUGGUGAUGACAUUGAUGGUAUUUCAGUUUUGAAGACAGAGUUGGCUAGACGAUUUGAGAUGAAGGAUUUGGGUUAUCUUCGAUAUUUCCUGGGUAUUGAGGUAGCAUACUCACCUAGAGGUUACCUUCUUUCUCAGUCGAAAUAUGUUGCAGAUAUUCUUGAGCGGGCUAGACUUACUGAUAACAAGACUGUGGAUACUCCUAUUGAGGUUAACGCAAGGUACUCUUCUUCUGAUGGUUUACCUUUGAUAGAUCCUACUUUAUACCGCACUAUUGUUGGGAGUUUGGUAUAUCUCACCAUUACUCGUCCAGAUAUUGCAUAUGUGUUCAUGUUGUUAGUCAGUUUGUUGCUUCUCCUACUACUGUUCAUUGGGCAGCUGUUCUUCGUAUUUUGCGAUAUCUUCGGGGUACAGUUUUUCAAAGUCUUUUACUUUCAUCCACCUCUUCCUUGGAGUUGCGUGCAUACUCUGAUGCUGAUCAUGGUAGUGAUCCCACAGAUCGCAAGUCUGUUACCGGGUUUUGUAUCUUUUUAGGUGAUUCUCUUAUUUCUUGGAAGAGCAAGAAACAAUCUAUUGUUUCUCAAUCAUCCACCGAAGCAGAAUAUCGUGCCAUGGCAUCUACUACCAAAGAGAUUAUUUGGUUACGUUGGUUACUUGCUGAUAUGGGAGUUUCCUUUUCCCAUCCUACUCCUAUGUAUUGUGACAACCAGAGUUCUAUUCAGAUUGCUCACAACUCGGUUUUUCAUGAGCGGACUAAGCACAUUGAAAUCGAUUGUCAUCAUACUCGUCAAGCAUGGAACCAUUACUUUGCCUUUUGUUCCUUCUUCAUUGCAGAUUGCAGAUUUCUUUACCAAGGCGCAUUCCAUAUCUCAUUUUCGUUUUCUAGUUGGCAAACUCUCGAUGCUUGUAGCUGCCGCAUCGUGAGUUUGAGGGGAGAUGUUAAAUAAUAUUUAUGUUGUCUUAUUUAUUAAGGGUAGAAUAGUACUUUCAGUUUAACCUAUAUAUACUUUAUUUGUAAUUAGGUUAAGUUAAUGCAUUCAUAAUAUACAGAUUAUUCAGAAUUCUAGCCUCCUUUUUGUGUUUGAUCUCAAUAACUUUAACAAUAUUCAUCCCAGAAAGGGAAUCCUUGGCAUCUAUCUUAUCUUCUUAUCGCAAGGGACCGAGGCAUUAUUAUUAAGAUUAUCUUCUAGCAUCUGCAUUCUACUGUCUACUUGAAUUAUGCCCUUAGUGGUUGUUUUUCUCUUUGAGGAAUGCUAAAUUGCUUGUUUAUAUCAACAGUCAAGAGGAUUGAUUCCCCUUUUAGCUUGCAAUUCUUCUAUUUUUUCACAGGCAAGGCCAGAUUUCUUAGAAUGGCUUGAUGAUUAGAAUGAUAUGUGACAUUCUUGCAGCCUUUUUGAUCUUUCUGCGCAAUGAUCAUAAGAAUUUUUACACUUUGGAAUCAUUUAAUCAAUAUACUACUUGGAAAAGCAAGUUUUUGUUAUUUUAUGUAUUCACCAUCUCCUGGAAAAAAGGAGUUGCCCAGAUUUCUUACCCCUUUAAGCUUUGUUUUUUCCUCACAAACCAGGGAACAUGCACGAUGAAUAAGAAACUAGAGAAAAACAUGUUGGGAUCAUUCAAACCAUGCUCUUAACCUCUUUUAUAGUUUUAUUCAUUGUACAUUGGUACUGGGUAGCAGUGGAGGGAGGAGGGCCUUGCUGUUGUCCAAAUCGCAUUUCACAAAUCAGAAGAUUUGGAUUAAGGCAUUUGUAGCCUUCUUUAGUCUUCUUUUCCUUCACAUUUUUUUUCUUGGAAACGUUAGAAAGUUGCAAAUUGUAGGAGGGAACACAAUAGGCUUUGGCAAAUCAGAUUAGAAAUAAUAAUUCCCCGGCUACGGCCAUUGAUUUUGCAACAGCUACACAUCUUCACAUGGCUUGAACCUCUAACUCUUAUAUGAACCUAGGCUAUUGCAGUAAUGGAACGAGCACUUGGUAGUGGAAAAUAAAGCACAAAUACAUAGGUGGAAUCCAAUGCAAAGCACGCCCGUCUAACAAGAGCACAUUUUAUGGGGUUUUGUGCUUUCACACUAAUUUAGCCACCUGAACAAGUGUGUUAAAUCACCAAAUGAAUGGCCUUAAAUUCCCAUCAUAUGAUACAGGUGGAAAUCUCACAAGCUGUUUGACUAGCCGUGUAGACCAUGAUCUAGUCAUGGAUAAAAUGGAAUAUUCUCAAUGUCAGGUAUUGAAGUUGGCCAUUUUGCUUGGUGUGGUGUGGGCUGCUAGGAAUUCAUGUGUAAACCAUGAGGAAGGCAUUUUUCAUACUUCCGUUCCCUUUCCUUUCCUUUUUAUUUGCACAAAGGAUACGCUUAUCUUGAGAAACACUAAACAAUUGAUUUUUAUUCUUUUUUCUUUUUUUUGUCUUUCCUUUUGAGGCUUAUAAGAACUCUUCUACUCUGGAAAGAGACUCAAAAGGAGCUAAAACAUGGAAGGAAACAGAAGAGAUCUCUAUUGCAGAAGAGAAAGUAGUGGAACAUCAGUCUCAAGGACCUUGCUAAGAAACUAGAGGAAUUUGCCAAGGCCAGAGAUUGGGAAAAGUACCGUAGUCCAAGAAAUCUCCUUCUUGCAAUGGUAAUGUCCUAUCCUCCUUGACAAAGCAUUCAUGUGAAGAUCCUUUAUGUAUGUGUUUUUCGUGUCCGUUCCCAUAGGCCACACAUAACUCAAAAUGUUUUCUUCUUUUCUAUGUAUUGGAACGAUCCUGUGUGUAUGACUCAGUUCUAUCGUAGAAAUUUCCCUCUUCUCAACAUGUCUUUUCACUAGUUUCUUGAAUCUACUGGGGGCUUAAUGCACAGUUCACUAUGAUGACAAAGUGAAGACAACCACAAUAUAAAAUAAGGACAACUUUUGUUCUAGUUUAAUCAUCCAUGUCGAAGCCAAACCGCAUGUAACGAGGCACUCGCUGGAAGGACAGCAUUAACGAUUCCCAGACUUGUUAGGGAUUGACUUACUGUGAAAUAUUUUUUUAGAGACAAGCUCUGUUUUUAUUUCAUAAUUUCAGAAAGAAGUUUCACAGGGGCAGUGCAUUAACAGAACAAAUAUUUGUCUGAAAGAACUUAAUUUCCAUGACACUCAGACAGUUUGAGACACCAACUGUACGACGGCAUAAGGUAGGGCGGGCGAAGGAAUCUCUUCAGCCAAUUUGCUCAUGUUUGGGAUUGAACUUGAGAAUUUUUUAAGGUGCCCCUGUCUUUAAAUAUGUAAAGCUUAAAUCAUUGGCUACUAAAGGGUGUGUAAAUGUUCACAUUUAUGUCUUGGAGCUGUGAUGGUGACAAAAUACAUACGUUGUUUUUGGCUCAGAUUUUCCUGGUGACAGACUAAAUCUCUCCAUCAUCUAAUAUUGGAUUGAUUCCUUAUAUAUAUAUCUUGUUUGAUGUGCAGGUUGGCAAAGUAGGAGAGCUAUCGGAAAUAUUCCAAUGGAAAGGAGAGGUGGACAAGGGGUUGCCAAACUGGGAGGAAUCUGACAAGGAGCAUCGAGCAGAAAAGCUGUCUGAUGUGCUGUUGUACCUCAUUAGAUUGUCUGAUAUCUGUGGCAUUGAUCUUGGUGAUGUUGCCAUCAAAAAAAUUGUGAAGAACGCUAUCAAAUACCCACCCAAGACCUGCUGAAUAUUUUUGUGUGUUUCUAGUAAUGUUAAAAAAAGUUUAAAUAUUUUUAUUAUUUUUUAAUUUGUCCAGAUGUGACUUUCUUUUUUAGUUUGUAUUUAUUGUUUUUUUAUAUAUAUAAAUUAACUCAUAAAAUAAAUAUUUUAAGAUUUCUUACAUUCUAUGGAUAGAUUAUAACAUCACCUGCUCAAAACAUUUUUUUAAAUCUUAAAACUAUUGGUCGAUGACAUCAACGAUAACAACGAUCCUGCCGUAUUCUUUGCCAUAGUUGACGAGACCUACCCUCCCGAUCUCGCGUAUCUCUUGAAAGGCUACAAGACCAUAUCACAUACAAGAACAAGAUGAUGUUAGAUUAAGAGUGGUAUAAGUGAGUUGUCGAGAGAAGGAGAAAGAGAGAAGUAGCUAACCAGCUGGGUUCUUGAGGUGUGCGUCAUCAGCCCGCAUUGGUCACUGCUUUUCUUUCCACCAGCUGGUAAACUUGGUAUGAUUUAAUGAGUUGAACCGAUAAUAAUUUAGAGUUUUAUUUAUAUUUUAUUCAGGAUUGGUUUGAAAUUUGAUUUCAACAAACAACAACUUUUAAAUGUUUUUUUAUAUAGUUUUUAUCGAAAACAAUGAGUUGUACUACAAAUAAAAUAAUAUUAUUUUAAAAUUGAUUCAACAAACCCUCUAUUAAAACCUUAAAUUUGAUGAAAUCUUAUAUCCAGUUUAAUAAUUAAAAAAUUAUGAUACAAAAAGUUAAAGUAGUGCCUUUUUUUUUAUAAUAAUUUGGGGAUAUUCAGGAGAGUAGUUAUAAUAUUUUUUAAAAUUAUUUUUAAUAUUAUUAUAUUAAAGCGGUGUUAAAAUAUAUAUAAAAAAUUAAUUUAAAAUAAAAAAAUUAAAAAAAAUAUUUUUUAUUUGAAAUGGAAACGGCAGGUGACAAAGUCAAGUCUUUCCAGCCAUUUGUUUCCACCGAAAGACUUUAACAGUCUUUCACGGCGAAGACCAAUUGCUAAUUCUUGACGUGUAAGCACUGGUCGCCAGUGCUUUUGCUCCCUUGUACCCGCCAUUACUAAGGUUUUGCUUCUCGAUGAGCUCAAAACAUAUUAAGUAACUUUUUGACAGUUUAUCCAUCGACUGCAAUGGACCGUCCAAGUUUGGUUUCCCUCUUUUCUGUAUUCUCAUUACUCUUUGUUUUGGAAUUGCACAACCAAAACAAUUUUGUUCCAACAAGGGAACCUAUUCUGUAAAUAGUACCUACAGCAAUAAUCUCAAUCUCCUACUCUCUUCUCUCCCUUCAAGCAUAGCAGAGAAUGGUAUCUUCUACAACGCCACAGAGGCCAAGGCCCUGACAAAGUCUAUGCUCUGGCCCUUUGUAGAGAGAUCUUCCCUCAGAAAAAUGCUCCAGUUGCGUUAACACUGCUAGCCAAGACAUUAAACAGCAGUGUCCUGAUAAAAAAGAAGCACUCUGUGGACGGAUUCUAUUUGCCUGGUAAGGUAUGCGAACCGUGAUAUUUUCGCCAAGAUGGAGGAGGAAUAUCUUCCUUCUGCGUACCCAAUCCGAAUGAUUUCCCUGGAGAUGUUGCUAGAUUCAACAAGACACUACAUGAUUUGAUGGCGGAACUUAUAACUCAGGCUUCCUCGGGUCCCAAAAAGUUUGCAACAGGAUAUGUGAACUUCACAAAACCGAUAUAUGGUCUGGUGCAAUGUACCCCUGAUAUAUCAGAGCGUGAUUGCGGAAUUUGUCUACAGAAGGGAAUGGGAGAAAUGGAAAGCUGUUCUGGUGGACGUGAAGGAGGAAGAAUUCUUAGUCCAAGUUGCAUGGUUUGGUUUGAGGUAUUUCGUUUUUAUACUGCUGGUACUGUAGAAUAUCCGCCACCAUCUCCUCCUCCUCAGCCACCAUCUCCUCCUCCUCCGGCGCCUAUCUUACCUCCUCAGCCACCAUCUCCUCCAAGUCCCGCUAACGCAUCCCCUCUCAACGAGACAAGUAAGAAACGUGUGUUACAUGCUUAAGUAGAAAGUUGAUAUCAAUUUUAGGGUGUACAGGCAGUUUGAAUUCUACCGUGAAUGGUAUUAAAACGAGCAUUAUUUUUUUAGCUCUUGUGGGUACUCGAGAGAUUUUGGUAAUUGAUUAGAGUCCAUUUGGAUAAAAGUGAAAUCAACUCAUUUUGUUACUUGCAUGCUCAUGGCAAUUAAAGGUACAGGUACUCGUGCAGGAAGUUUUUUGUUUCCUGUGAUGACUCCAUGCUCAAGAAUAAUUAUGUUUGGAUAUUUAUCAAAUGCAGGAUAUAUAAUUAGCUCAGAAACGUUUAUUCAACUUGUGUUUAAUCAGUACUUAUCUCGGUGCCAUGCAGGAAACAAGAUUGUUAUUAUCAUUGUUGUGGCUGUAGCCAGCUUAGUUACCCUUAUCACAAUCAUUUGUGCUCUUUUCCUAUGGAGAAGGAUGAAGCAGAAAGCUGAGAGUAAGUCUAUACAUUUUUAGUGUUUGCUUGCCAUUAUUCUGCAACUUAGAUGAAUAGGUUUUCUACAUGUUGGCCCUAAAAAGCACUACAUAAGUCAUUUUCGUUUACAUUGGACUAGUGACUCCAAAAAACUACCUAAAACUUUUGCAAUGUGCAAGAUAAUCGAGGAAUGAAGUUUGUACGAAGAGUAAUGAUUAUAGAACCCCUCCAAGCAUUUUCUCUGUGGUGGAAGUAACAUUAGCUUAAAUAUAGUUCAUUAGAUAAUAUCAUGUCACCGCUUGCUAAUUUUGAUUUUUUAUUCUGUGAAGAUGAUGAUGAUGAGAUGAGAAUGCUAGAAUCCUUGGAAUUCAACUUCAGUACCUUGAGAAUAGCAACAGAUGAAUUCAGCAAUGAUAAUAAACUUGGACAAGGUGGAUUUGGUUCAGUUUACAAGGUAACCUUCUUGUAAUAACAACGCACUUUCAUCAGGUUUUUUCAUGUCUGUAAAGCUGAAUUAGUUACAGAUUAUCUUUUCUCAGCUUGUUAACAUCUUGGUAUUAGAUAUUAACAUAGAUAUAUCAGUGAACAACAAUUAUUAGGAGGAAAGGAAAUAUAAAAUAGAAAACAUUAGGGAAAGAAAUCAGUGGACAUCAAAUUCUGAUUGCCUGUACACUUUCUUAUUCCAGAAGCUUUAAUGUAACAAACAUGAAACACUUGUCUGGGCUACUGUCAAAGCAGUGGGUAGUUCGUACUCGUGUUCUUCGAGAAGGCAACCACACUGUGCGGAUUGCAUGGCUAACCUGGUCAUAAUUAUAUCUUGGGUGUUCAUAUGUUAAUAAUCCUGUUAAUGGUCUGUCUCUGUCUACAUUAUUGUAUGCUGACAUGAUCGGGGUUGCUAGUUGUUUGUAGUUCUGUUUCUUUUGGGCUUAGGCCCCGAUACUACCAAAAAAGAAAAAGAAAAAAUGAAACACUUGUCUUUAUUUACUCUGUUAAUCUUCAGGGAGUGCUUCCAAACGGACAAGAAAUUGCUGUCAAAAGGCUAUCCGGCUGUUCUUCACAAGGUGAAGUAGAAUUCAAGAAUGAGAUUCUGUUAUUGGCUAAGCUCCAACACAGAAAUCUUGUUAGCCUUGUAGGUUUUUGCUCCGAAGGACAGGAACGAAUCCUUGUUUAUGAGUUUUUGGGGAAUGGCAGCCUUGAUAAAUUCAUAUUUGGUACUACUGCUUUACCUUUUACUAAACGAAUUGUUUAGCAUAUCUGAAGUAGCUCUCUUUUAAUCCACAAGUAGGAUUUGGUAAACUUAUUGAAUGAAAUUGUAGAUCCAAUCAAGAGCACCCAACUGAAUUGGGAAACAAGGUGCAGAAUCAUCAGUGGCAUUGCUAGAGGAAUUCUUUAUCUUCAUGAAGAUUCUCGUCUUAGGAUCAUUCAUCGUGACCUGAAAGCUAGCAAUGUCUUGUUAGAUGAAGAGAUGAAUCCUAAAGUUUCAGAUUUUGGCUUGGCAAGGCAGUUUCAACCGGAUCAAACCAACGCAUUACCAGCAGAGUUGCGGGGACCUAGUGAGUAUUAAAAUCAACUCAAUGAUUAUACUCUUUAGAAAUUCCAUAGAACUACUAGGAAAAAAAAACUCUUUAUGUUUCAUAAAACCUGAGAUGGAAUAAGUCAGUUUCAAAAGAGCUCUGCUAGCAUUUGAAUUGACAUUGUCCUCAUCGUUGAUGUUUUUUAGCGGCUACAUGGCUCCAGAAUAUGCCUUUCAAAAUCGAUUAUCAGUGAAAUCUGAUGUCUUCAGUUUUGGAGUGUUGGUUCUAGAGAUAGUAACUGGUAAGAAAAACAGCUGGCUGAGCAAUUCGAAGGAACUAGAGCUCCUUCUAAUCCAUGUAAGUGUGCUCGUAUCUUCGUCAAACUUUGUGUUUGCUUCUUUAUGCUUGGAGUAGACAGGAACCGUUAAGGAUAGCCAAGAAGUGCGUGCAUCAAAAUCAGUUUAUCGUGUGAUUGACCUGGUUUUUGUGUGGAAGAACUGAACUUUUUUCAUUCAGAUGAGUUAGUUUCAACGAGUGCAUUUCACACCCUGCAGGCAUGGAGAAAUUGGAGAGAAGGAACAGCUACGAACCUGAUUGACGAAACAUUGAGGGGCAGUCCAGUAAGGGAUGUAAUGAGAUGCUUCCACAUAGGUUUAUUGUGUGUUCAACAAAAUGUGUCAGGUAGACCCACCAUGGCUGCUGUUGUUCCUAUGCUCAAUAGCCACUCCUGGAGUCUCCCAUCACCUUCACGACCUGCGUUUCUUUUGGACAGUAACACAGACACAGGCUUGCCUUCAUUAAAAUCCGAUAGCAUACAAGGGACAACAUAUCUGUAGAAAUUUUCAUAGACUGAGACAUACUCUCAAGAGCACGAAAACAUGAUUGCAUUGUUUGAAAAUUGAUACAAUUUCGAAAGACAUGAUUCUGCACAUGGUUUGUUGAAUGGUAUCUGAUGACCAUAGUGAUAUUGUUAACUCUCCUCUGAUUGCAUUAUGCUUGACAUGGUUGUUUGGAAGUAGACUCUGGACCCUAAUGAUGUUAACUCACCAUUGAUUGUGAUAGGAACUGGACCGGAUCAUAGCUAUCCUCUUUGAGUGCUAUUGAAAUGAUAAGAUAUGAACAUAUCAAGAUGCACAGAUACUAAAUAGAAUCCAGUUAGAGCCCAAUUUGAAAGUUAUGAUUGGUUCCGUAAUUUGUAACCCAUAUAUAUGUUAACCAAGAGAUCGAUUUUGAACAUAGAAUGUGGUUUCUGAGUUUGAUUAGAUAUCUUUUGGUUUUUUUAAUGGAUUGGAGCAUGAUUUCUAAACGUUUUUUUGGAUAAUCCUAAGGUGUUUUUGAACAAAAAUGGUGUACAGGGCCAAAACAAUGCUUUCAGAUUCCAUCAAGCAAUUUCCAAGUUUUGGUCAUCGGAAACUUAGGGAAGAAGGUGAAUUAAACGUUGCGUCAUCUUUAGCUAUAGACAACAUGUUGUUCACCAAUUAAAUAAAAAAAAAUAUCUUAGACCUGAUCAAAAUGAUAAUGCCUGAUUAAUUCCUGUAUAAUCACAAUUAUACCUUAGAGGCUACGUCAAAUAAGUUUUUUUAAGAAAAGUAAAAUAGUAAUUAUACUUUUCCAUCCACAGUACAUAUAGAGUACGUCUGCAUAAUGAUUUCUUCAUCUCUUUCAGUUUUUUUUUUAAUUAUAUUCUAACACGGUAAGAUUCCUUGAGAUAUGAGGAAAAAAAAUAGCAGACAUAUUUCGUAGGUUGUAUAUUUUGACAUGAAAUGCAGUGCAGACUAGAUAAUGGAUGCACAUUCAGAGGUCAUUUUCUGUCGCGGCCCAUCCAUUUUUAACCUGUUAGACAGCCUCCCCCAGCCUACACAAGUCUCUACAAAAUAGAAAUGUUCAAUUGAAAUAGCAAGUAAAAUCUUUAAUUAUUUUAACACUAAGAUACUCCACCAUAAUGCAACAUCUCAGAACCUUUCUAUAUUCAUCCAUCUCCUGGAAAAAAAAAGGAGCUGUCAGAUUUCUUACCCCUUUAAGCUUUGUUUUUUUCCUAACAAACCAAGGAACAUGCACGAUGAAUAAGAAACUGGAGAAAGAACAUGUUGGGAUCAUUCAAACCAUGCUCUUAACCUCUUUAUAGUUUUAUUCAUUGUACAUUAUUGGUACUGGGUAGCAGUGGAGGGAGGAGGGCCUUACUGUUUGUCCAAAUCGCAUUUCACAAAUCAGAAGAUUUGGAUUAUGGCAUUUCUAGCCUUCUUUUAGUCUUCUUUUCCUUCACAUUUUUUUACUUGGAAAUGUUAGAAAGUCGCAAAUUGUAGGAGGGAACGCGAUAGGCUUCGGCAAAUCGGAAUAUAAAUAAUAAUUCCCCGGCGACGGCCAUUGAUUUUGCAACGGCUACACAUCUUCACAUGGCUUGAACCUCUAGCUCUUAUACGAGCCUAGGCUAUUGCAGUAAUGGAGCGAGCACUUAGUAGUGGCAAAUAAAGCACAAAUACAUAGGUGGAAUCCAAUGCAAAGCACGCCCGUCUAACAAGAGCACAUUUUGUGGGGUUUUGUGUUUUCACACUAAUUUAGCCACCUGAACAAGUGUGUUAAAUCACCAAAUGAAUCGCCUUAAAUUCCCAUCAUAUGAUACAGGUGGAAAUCUCACAAGCUGUCCGACUAGCCGUGCUAAUUUACCUUGGAACCGAGUAUAAAAUCUGCCAUUUUUGUUUAAAACAUAGGAGAACAUGAUCUAGUCAUGGAUAAAAUGGAAUAUUCUCAAUGUCAGGUAUUGAAGUUGGCCAUUUUGCUUGGUGGGGUGUGGGCUGCUAGGAAUCUCAUGUGUAAACCAUGAGGAAGGCAUUUUUCCUACUUUCGUUCCCUUUCCUUUCCCUUUUAUUUAUACAAAGGAUACGCUUAUCUUGAGAAACAUUGUACAAUCGAUUUUUAUUCUUUUUUCUUUUUUUUUUGUCCUUUCCUUUUGAGGCUAUAAGAACUCCUCUACUCUGGAAAGAGACUCAAAAGGAGCUAAAGCAUGGAAGAAACAGAAGAGAAAGUAGUGGACAUUAGUCUCAAGGACCUUGCUAAGAAACUAGAGGAAUUUGCCAAGGCUAGAGAUUGGGAAAAGUACCAUAGUCCAAGAAAUCUCCUUCUUGCAAUGGUAAUGUCCUAUCCUCCUUAUAUGUGUGUACAGAGCAUUCAUGCGAAGAUCCUUUAUGAAUGUGUUUUUCGUGUCCGUUCCCAUAGGCCACUCAUAGCUCAGAAUGUUUUCUUAUUUGCUAUGUAUUGGAAUGAUCUUGUGUAUGACUCAGUUCCAU
rnacentral:lncRNA from 1 species